CCUACGGGGGGCUGCAGUGGGGAAUAUUGGACAAUGGGGGGAACCCUGAUCCAGCCAUGCCGCGUGUGUGAAGAAGGCCCUCGGGUUGUAAAGCACUUUCAGUGAGGAAGAACGCCUGGUGGUUAAUACCCAUCAGGAAAGACAUCACUCACAGAAGAAGCACCGGCUAACUCCGUGCCAGCAGCCGCGGUAAUACGGAGGGUGCGAGCGUUUAUCGUAAUUACUGGGCGUAAAGCGCGCGUAGGUGGCUUGAUAAGCCGGUUGUGAAAGCCCCGGGCUCAACCUGGGAACAGCAUCCGGAACUGUCAAGCUAGAGUGCAGGAGAGGAAGGUAGAAUUCCCGGUGUAGCGGUGAAAUGCGUAGAGAUCGGGAGGAAUACCAGUGGCGAAGGCGGCCUUCUGGACUGACACUGACACUGAGGUGCGAAAGCGUGGGUAGCAAACAGGAUCAGAUACCCUAGUAGUC
rnacentral:rRNA from 1 species